UUUCGUCAUUUUGUUCCGAAACGCUCAAGUGAAAAGGUAUUCCAGAUUCGUUACGGAAUUGCGGUGUGUCGAUCUACAUUUUCAGCAUUGAAAUUGAAUGACAAUCUGGCAUAUAAUUUCCACUCGGCCAAAUAAUCGAUCACGUGGACUGAAAUCUGAAACUACUUUCCAUUUUGCCGAAAUGUUGUCCGUUGUUAGCUGUACCUGUUCGGAUUUACGUCUCAUCUCACGCAGAAAUACUACAGAGUUUGUGUUCAGGUUGGAGAUCCUGUUACUUACCUGUAGCAGAUUGUGAGAACUCGACAAAUUCUGAGCUCCAUGGCUGGCAUUUUGGCCACAGUGGUUUUGUUGCAGCCAGCUGGUGAAAGGUGUGAUCGAGUCAACUUGAGCUGCAGCUGCUGCAUGCAGUUUAUCAAGCUGGUGUUAUCCUGAAGUGUCAUUGCAGGAAGACUUUUUGAAAUGGACUUGGUGAUACUUAAACUAUGCCUGUGCUGUUCGAUGUGCAGUGGUUUUGCAGCCUGUUUCCAGUUGAGAGAUGUGAUUAUGCAGCUGAUACAGGAUUGAAGAAAAAAACUGAAGUAGCCGGGCUAGUGUUCUCCUGAAAUUGCUGUGCCAUAGGAGUUGCAGAUAGUGUUUGGUUCCUCAUAGAAGUUUAUUUAAAGAGUCUGGAGAUGAUCAGCCACUUCAGAUUAUAACUUAUGUAAAACUUCAAAGUUGUAAUAAAUAUGCAAGACA